GGACUACAGGGGUUUCUAAUCCCGUUUGCUCCCCCAGCUUUCGCGCCUCAGCGUCAAGAAUGCCCCAGGAGACCGCCUUCGCCACUGGUGUUCCUACCGAUAUCUACGCAUUUCACCGCUACACCGGUAAUUCCAUCUCCCCCUAGCACCUUCAAGACUGGCAGUAUCCACCGACCCUCCGGAGUUAAGCUCCGGGCUUUCACAGCGGACUUACCAACCCGCCUACGCGCGCUUUACGCCCAGUAACUUCGGACAACGCUAGCCCCCUCCGUAUUACCGCGGCUGCUGGCAC
rnacentral:rRNA from 1 species